UAGGCAUUGUAGAAGCGGUUUUCGCUUUGAUCUUUGACAGCUUUUGUGAUCUGAGAUCAUUGUGAAAGCCGUUUCUACAAU
rfam:Trichuris suis scaffold317.2, whole genome shotgun sequence.